CUGCAGCCCGAGUGGUGACCGAUAUUAUUGAGCCUAAAGCGUCCGUAGCCGGUCUGGUAAAUUCUUGGGUAAAUCGGGCAGCUUAACUGUCCGACUUCCGAGGAGACUGCCAGACUUGGGACCGGGAGAGGUCAGAGGUACUCCAGGGGUAGGGGCUAAAUCCUGUAAUCCUUGGGGGACCACCAGUGGCGAAGGCGUCUGACUAGAACGGAUCCGACGGUAAGGGACGAAACCCUGGGGCGCAAACCGGAUUAGAUACCCGAGUAGUCC
rnacentral:rRNA from 1 species